AUUGAACGCUGGCGGCAGGCCUAACACAUGCAAGUCGAGCGAGCGGCGGACGGGUGAGUAAUGUCUGGGAAACUGCCAGAUGGAGGGGGAUAACUACUGGAAACGGUAGCUAAUACCGCAUACCAUCAGAUGUGCCCAGAUGGGACUAGCUCGUAGGUGGGGUAAUGGCUCACCUAGGCGACGAUCCCGAGCUGGUCUGAGAGGAUGAACAGCCACACUGGAGCUGAGACACGGGCCAGACUCCGACGGGAGUUAGCAGUGGGGAAUAUUGCACGAUGGGCGCAAGCCUGAUGCAGCCAUGCCGCGUGUGUGAAGAAGGCCUUCGGGUUGUAAAGCACUUUCAGCGAGGAGGCGUUACUCGCAGAAGAAGCACCGGCUAACUACGUGCCAGCAGCCGCGGUAAUAC
rnacentral:rRNA from 1 species